rnacentral:rRNA from 1 species
AUUGAACGCUGGCGGCAGGCCUAACACAUGCAAGUCGAGCGAGCGGCGGACGGGUGAGUAAUGUAUGGGGACUGCCCGAUAGAGGGGGAUAACUACUGGAAACGGUGGCUAAUACCGCAUACUAUCGGAUAACCCAUAUGGGAUUAGCUAGUAGGUGGGGUAAAGGCUCACCUAGGCCACGAUCUCUAGCUGGUCUGCGAGGAUGAUCGGCCAGACUGCGACUGGGACCGGGCCCAGACUGCUACGGAGGCAGCAGUGGGGAAUAUUGCGAAAUGGGCGCAAGCCUGAUGCAGUCAUGCGGCGUGGAUGAAGACGGCCUUAGGGUUGUACAGUACUGUCAGCGGGGAGGCGUUACACGCAGAAGAAGCACCGGCUAGCGCCAUGCAAGCAGCCGCGGUAAUUC